rnacentral:lncRNA from 1 species
CAGGUUUGGGUUUUUGUUUUUUUGACAGAAUGAUUCUGUUAGCCCUCUCCCAGUCAGGCAUAUCACCAAUUUCCAAACCAAAUAGUUGGGAAUGAGGCAGGCGUAGUAUAGCAUUGAGUAAUUUAAUUAUUACUAAAUAUUUUAUUCUCUGAAAAGCAGCACAUCACAUUUUCUGAUGCUUUGUAACAGGGAAAGCUAAUUUACAGAUUAAGUUACUGGUCAGAGAUGAGGUGAUGGGGAAUCUUGCAUGGGGAACGUGUCUGUCUAGCUGAUGGCCUUUAUACUUAUUCCCCCCAUCUAAGCAUUGCAUGAGAAGAGUACAUACAUCUAAAGUGCAGGAGAGAAAAUCGCACCAAUUUCCACCUAGACCACCAUGAUAAAAUAAGUCUCCUUUACAACUUUUUUGUAAAGUACUGCUUUGAUGCUAUUGACAUAUGGGUAUUAUUGUAGCAACUACUUAGUAGAGGUGUGGUUCUUCUCCUCUGUAACUUAAAGGAAAAUUGUUCAAGGGUUAUAGAAACUUCUCAGGCUCCUAAGACUAACAAAGGCCACUACCUAAUGCUUAGAUAUUGGAUAUGUUACAUUUUUACUGGAGUACUUUGCAUACAUGUGAAGCACUGCUGUUCUUGCACUGGCCUUGGUGUCAUAAAUUUGUGUUCCUCACAGAGCUGUCUAGUGUAAAUUAUCAUGACACCAAGAGCACCGUGCUAAAUCCUUUUACUGACCUUGUACCACUGAAGGCUAAUUAAGUUGGAAAGAAAGGGGAGGCUGUACAGUUUUGUUGCACAUUUUUACAAAUUUACAACUGAGGGGAUCAGAAAUUUCUCCAAAAUUAACUUCUGAGGAGUGAAUGACUAUCAUUGCAUAUUUUUGUAUGGGUGCAAGAUCUAUUACUUUUGUCCUUUCCCUUUUGCUGAUGCAGAUGUGCAGGUGUGAUUGAGCUGGAAGGUACUUGGAUACUGUAGAGGACUCAGCAGGACUGUGUGAUUUUACAGAACUUUUCUGUGGUUUUUGAUUUAUG